rnacentral:rRNA from 1 species
UACGGAAGGUGCAAGCGUUGCUCGGAAUCACUGGGCGUAAAGGGUGCGUAGGCGGCUUGGUGGGUCUGGUGUGAAAGCCCCGGGCUCAGCCCGGGAAGGGCAGUAGAAACUGCCGAGCUGGAGUGCCGGAGGGGAGAGUGGAAUUCCUGGUGUAGCGGUGAAAUGCGUAGAUAUCAGGAGGAAUACCGGUGGCGAAAGCGACUCUCUGGACGGCAACUGACGCUGAGGCACGAAAGCGUGGGGAGCAAACCGG